rnacentral:rRNA from 1 species
AGAGUUUGAUCCUGGCUCAGGAUGAACGCUGGCGGCGUGCUUAACACAUGCAAGUCGAGCGAAGCACUUAAGUUCGAUUCUUCGGAUGAAGACUUUUGUGACUGAGCGGCGGACGGGUGAGUAACGCGUGGGUAACCUGCCUCAUACAGGGGGAUAACAGUUAGAAAUGGCUGCUAAUACCGCAUAAGACCACGGUACUGCAUGGUACAGUGGUAAAAACUCCGGUGGUAUGAGAUGGACCCGCGUCUGAUUAGGUAGUUGGUGAGGUAACGGCCCACCAAGCCGACGAUCAGUAGCCGACCUGAGAGGGUGACCGGCCACAUUGGGACUGAGACACGGCCCAGACUCCUACGGGAGGCAGCAGUGGGGAAUAUUGCACAAUGGGCGAAAGCCUGAUACAGCGACGCCGCGUGAAGGAUGAAGUAUUUCGGUAUGUAAACUUCUAUCAGCAGGGAAGAAAAUGACGGUACCUGACUAAGAAGCCCCGGCUAACUACGUGCCAGCAGCCGCGGUAAUACGUAGGGGGCAAGCGUUAUCCGGAUUUACUGGGUGUAAAGGGAGCGUAGACGGCUGUGCAAGUCUGAAGUGAAAGGCAUGGGCUCAACCUGUGGACUGCUUUGGAAACUGUGCAGCUAGAGUGUCGGAGAGGUAAGUGGAAUUCCUAGUGUAGCGGUGAAAUGCGUAGAUAUUAGGAGGAACACCAGUGGCGAAGGCGGCUUACUGGACGAUGACUGACGUUGAGGCUCGAAAGUGUGGGUAGCAAACAGGAUUAGAUACCCUGGUAGUCCACACCGUAAACGAUGAUUACUAGGUGUUGGAGGAUUGACCCCUUCAGUGCCGCAGUUAACACAAUAAGUAAUCCACCUGGGGAGUACGACCGCAAGGUUGAAACUCAAAGGAAUUGACGGGGGCCCGCACAAGCAGUGGAGUAUGUGGUUUAAUUCGACGCAACGCGAAGAACCUUACCAAGUCUUGACAUCCGUUGACCGACAUAGAAAUAUGUUUUUCCUUCGGGACAGCGAGACAGGUGGUGCAUGGUUGUCGUCAGCUCGUGUCGUGAGAUGUUGGGUUAAGUCCCGCAACGAGCGCAACCCUUAUGGUCAGUUACUACGCAAGAGGACUCUGGCCAGACUGCCGUUGACAAAACGGAGGAAGGUGGGGAUGACGUCAAAUCAUCAUGCCCUUUGUGACUUGGGCUACACACGUACUACAAUGGCGUUAAACAAAGAGAAGCAAGACCGCGAGGUGGAGCAAAACUCAGAAACAACGUCCCAGUUCGGACUGCAGGCUGCAACUCGCCUGCACGAAGUCGGAAUUGCUAGUAAUCGUGGAUCAGCAUGCCACGGUGAAUACGUUCCCGGGCCUUGUACACACCGCCCGUCACACCAUGAGAGCCGGGGGGACCCGAAGUCGGUAGUCUAACCGCAAGGAGGACGCCGCCGAAGGUGAAACUGGUGAUUGGGGUGAAGUCGUAACAAGGUA